AUUGAACGCUGGCGGCAUGCCUUACACAUGCAAGUCGAACGGCAGCACGGGAGCAGUCCUGGUGGCGAGUGGCGAACGGGUGAGUAAUGUAUCGGAACGUACCUUUCAGUGGGGGAUAACGUAGCGAAAGUUACGCUAAUACCGCAUAUUCUGUGAGCAGGAAAGCAGGGGAUCGCAAGACCUUGCGCUGAUUGAGCGGCCGAUAUCAGAUUAGCUAGUUGGUGAGGUAAAGGCUCACCAAGGCGACGAUCUGUAGCGGGUCUGAGAGGAUGAUCCGCCACACUGGAACUGAGACACGGUCCAGACUCCUACGGGAGGCAGCAGUGGGGAAUUUUGGACAAUGGGCGCAAGCCUGAUCCAGCCAUGCCGCGUGAGUGAAGAAGGCCUCGGUUGUAAG
rnacentral:rRNA from 1 species